rnacentral:misc_RNA from 1 species
CUUUAUCGACUUUUUUCCUUUCUUAAAUUAAAUAUAUGACACAAAUCACGUUUUAAUUUGGUGGGUACAUCUCUCUUUAAAUAGCACCUAUCAGUUUAUAUAGUAACCUAAUUUUUAAUAGCACUAUUUAUUAUAGUGACACAAGUCAGACA